rfam:Lasius niger Lnig_2.1_8050, whole genome shotgun sequence.
GUCUGAAUAGCUUAGUGGUAAGAGCAAUUGCCCAGAAAGCGAAAGACUCGAGUUUAAUUCCCGAUUCAGCCA